rnacentral:rRNA from 1 species
GAGUCAGUAGGUUGGUCGUGCCACCGGUACGUACUGGUCUCACUGAUUCCUCCUUCCUGAAGAACCGUAAUGCCAUUAAUUUGGUGUUGCGGGGAAACAGGACUGUUACUUUGAAAAAAUUAGAGUGUUUAAAGCAAGCUAACGCUUGAAUACAUUAGCAUGGAAUAAUGAAAUAGGACGAUCGAUCCUAUUUUGUUGAUUUCUAGGAUUGACGUA